GGGGGUUUUUCCACUAUACUUCGAGAGAAUUACAUUUUACAAGAGAUGAAUGAAUAAUGAGAUGAGAUCCCCUUCUAACCCACUACUAAGUCUCUAUUUAUAAGCAUGUAAAUAAGCCUUAGGGCCUCAAGCCCAUUCCCUAAGAUAAUUGGGCUUAAGCCCCUUUAAUACAUUGACCUUGGUCUGAGUCGCCUAUGCUUGCUUGACUACGCCGGAAGCUCUAUUAUUUCUUUUAUUAUCCCAAGUCUUCAAUUAAACCUGCACUGAUUAGCUUAAU
rnacentral:lncRNA from 1 species